UACGGAGGGUGCAAGCAUUAAUCGGAUUUAUUGGGCGUAAAGGGCGCGUAGGCGGAGAAGCAAGUCAGAUGUGAAAUCCCUGGGCCCAACCCAGGAACUGCAUUUGAAACUCCUUCUCUUGAGGAUAGGCGGGGAAAAUGGAAUUCCACAAGUAGCGGUGAAAUGCGUAGAUAUGUGGAGGAACACCGGUGGCGAAGGCGGUUUUCUAGCUUAUUCCUGACGCUGAGGCGCGAAAAGCAAGGGGAUCAAACAGG
rnacentral:rRNA from 1 species